rnacentral:tRNA from 1 species
UAGCUUAGUUGGUAAAGAAUCUGCCUGUAAUGCAGAAGACCCUGGUUCGAUUCCUGG